rnacentral:rRNA from 1 species
UACGUAGGGUGCGAGCGUUGUCCGGAAUUAUUGGGCGUAAAGAGCUCGUAGGCGGUCUGUCGCGUCGGAUGUGAAAAUCAGGGCUCAACCCUGGACCUGCAUUCGAUACGGGCAGACUAGAGUUCGGCAGGGGAGACUGGAAUUCCUGGUGUAGCGGUGAAAUGCGCAGAUAUCAGGAGGAACACCGGUGGCGAAGGCGGGUCUCUGGGCCGAAACUGACGCUGAGGAGCGAAAGCGUGGGGAGCAAACAGG